rnacentral:tRNA from 1 species
AGCGGUGUGGCCGAGUGGUCAGAGCGCUAGACUGAGAAUCCGAUGGGAAACGGUCCCACGGGUUCGAACCCUUUUGCCGCUG